UGGGGAAUAUUGCACAAUGGAGGGAACUCUGAUGCAGCGACGCCGCGUGAACGAAGAAGGCUUUCGCGUCGUAAAGUUCUUUUAUAUGGGAAGAUAAUGACGGUACCAUAAGAAAAAGCCCCGGCUAACUACGUGCCAGCAGCCGCGGUAAUACGUAGGGGGCUAGUGUUGUCCGGAAUCACUGGGCGUAAAGGGUUCGCAGGCGGAAAUGCAAGUCAGGUGUAAAAGGCAGUAGCUUAACUACUGUAAGCAUUUGAAACUGCAUAUCUUGAGAAGAGUAGAGGUAAGUGGAAUUUUUAGUGUAGCGGUGAAAUGCGUAGAUAUUAAAAAGAAUACCGGUGGCGAAGGCGACUUACUGGGCUCAUUCUGACGCUGAGGAACGAAAGCGUGGGUAGCAAACAGG
rnacentral:rRNA from 1 species